rnacentral:lncRNA from 1 species
UUCUAAACUGUGACCUUCCAACGAUACUGACUUUUAUCUCACCCCACCUCACUAAGAAAAUCUUAGAGCUGAUUAAAUUUAGUCCAAUAGAAAAAAAUAAGACAAGUAAAACUAGUUUCGCAAACUUGUGCUCCAUAUAUAUUCUACAGGUGUGAUUUCUUGAUUGAACAAAAAUUUAUAAUGUAUGGAUACGUGCUAUCUUUACCUCCAUCUCUCAGAUGAAAACCUGAGAUCAGAAAAGAGGCCAAAGAAAAAUUUAUCAUCAAUGCCAAGAGGAACUUGAAAAGUUGGAUGAAAGGUGGCGUCCUCGAGGAUGAGGCGGUAGUGCUCGAGG